AGCGUAGGCGGAUUUUUAAGUGGGAUGUGAAAUACCCGGGCUUAACCUGGGUGCUGCAUUCCAAACUGGAAGUCUAGAGUGCAGGAGAGGAAAGUGGAAUUCCUAGUGUAGCGGUGAAAUGCGUAGAGAUUAGGAAGAACACCAGUGGCGAAAGCGACUUUCUGGACUGUAACUGACGCUGAGGCUCGAAAGCGUGGGGAGCGAACA
rnacentral:rRNA from 1 species